GCAUAUUAAUGAGGGGAGGAAAAGAAACUAACAAGGAUUUUCUUAGUAGCGGCGAGCGAAAAGAAAUCAGUUCAGCACUAAGUCACUUUGUCUUUAUGGCAAAUGUGAGAUGCAGUGUAUGGAAUGUCAAAUUUCUAGUAUGAGAAAUUAACGAUUUAAGUCCUUCUUAAAUGAGGCCAUUUACCCAUAGAGGGUGCCAGGCCCGUAUAACGUUAAUGAUUACUAGAUGGCAUUUCCAAAGAGUCGUGUUGCUUGAUAGUGCAGCACUAAGUGGGUGGUAAACUCCAUCUAAAACUAAAUAUAACCAUGAGACCGAUAGUAAACAAGUACCGUGAGGGAAAGUUGAAAAGAACUCUGAAUAGAGAGUUAAAUAGUACGUGAAACUGCUUAGAGGUUAAGCCCGAUGAACCUGAAUAUCCAUUAUAGAAAAUUCAUCAUUAUGAUUUUAAUAUUAAUAAUAUUAUAAUAAUGGUGUGCAUUUUUUCUAUAACGGACAUUGUAAUCUAUUAACAUAAAUAUAUUUAUCAUAAGAUCAAUGAUGCGUAAGUUUAUUCAAAUUAUUUUGCUUGCAAUUUAACAUAGAAUAAAUGCUCUUGAUUUGAUAAAGUGUUGAUAGAUUUAUUGUAUAUAGUGCUUAAAUAUUUAUAUUUUAUAAUAGCAUAUUAAUCAUUGAUUUUUAUGUUUAUUAUAUGCACUUAUAUGAUUAACAAUGCGAAAGAUUCAGGAUACCUUCGGGACCCGUCUUGAAACACGGACCAAGGAGUCUAACAUAUUUGCAAGUUAUUGGGUAUCAAAACCUAAUAGCGAAAUUAACAUAACUUUAAUGGGAUUAGUUUUUAGAUUAUUUAUAGUCUAUUAAUUCAAUCCCGGGGCGUUCUAUAUAGUUAUGUAUAAUAAUAUUUAUAUUAUUUAUACCUCUAACUAGAGCGUACCUUGAGCAUAUAUGCUGUGACCCGAAAGAUGGUGAACUAUACUUGAUCAGGUUGAAGUCAGGGGAAACCCUGAUGGAAGACCGAAACAGUUCUGACGUGCAAAUCGAUUGUCAGAAUUGAGUAUAGGGGCGAAAGACCAAUCGAACCAUCUAGUAGCUGGUUCCCUCCGAAGUUUCCCUCAGGAUAGCUGGUGCAUUUAAAUAUUAUGUAAAAUAAUCUUAUCUGGUAAAGCGAAUGAUUAGAGGCCUUAGGGUCGAAACGACCUUAACCUAUUCUCAAACUUUAAAUGGGUAAGAACCUCACCUUUCUUGGUAUGAAGGUUGUGGUUGUGAUAUAAUGUGCCCAGUGGGCCACUUUUGGUAAGCAGAACUGGCGCUGUGGGAUGAACCAAACGUAAUGUUACGGUGCCCAAAUUAACAACUCAUGCAGAUACCAUGAAAGGCGUUGGUUGCUUAAAACAGCAGGACGGUGGACAUGGAAGUCGUAAUCCGCUAAGGAGUGUGUAACAACUCACCUGCCGAAGCAACUAGCCCUUAAAAUGGAUGGCGCUUAAGUUGUAUACCUAUACAUUACCGCUAAAGUAGAUGGUUUAUGUUCAAUUUCGGUUGGAUUAUAAACUUUGAAACUUUAGUGAGUAGGAGGGUACUAUGGUGUGCUUGGAAGUGUUUGGCGCAAGCCUGCAUGGAGCCGCCAUUGGUACAGAUCUUGGUGGUAGUAGCAAAUAAUCGAAUGAGACCUUGGAGGACUGAAGUGGAGAAGGGUUUCGUGUGAACAGUGGUUGAUCACGAGUUAGUCGGUCCUAAGUUCAAGGCGAAAGCCGAAAAUUUUCAAGUUAUAAUGAAAAAUAAUUAAAUUUAAUUAUUUAGUAAUUAAACACUUGAAUAAUUUUGAACGAAAGGGAAUACGGUUCCAAUUCCGUAACCUGUUGAGUAUCCGUUUGUUAAUAAAUAUGGGCCUUGUGCUCAUCCUGGCAACAGGAACGACCAUAAAGAAGCCGUCGAGAGAUAUCGGAAGAGUUUUCUUUUCUGUUUUAUAGUCGUACUACCAUGGAAGUCUUUCGAAGAGAGAUAUGGUAGAUGGGCUAGAAGAGCAUGACAUUUACUGUUGUGUCGAUAUUUUCUCCUCGGACCUUGAAAAUUUAUGGUGGGGUCACGCAAACUUCUCAACAGGCCGUACCAAUAUCCGCAGCUGGUCUCCAAGGUGAAGAGUCUCUAGUCGAUAGAAUAAUGUAGGUAAGGGGAAGUCGA
rnacentral:rRNA from 1 species